rnacentral:lncRNA from 1 species
AAAAUGACUAAUCUAAAUUUCAUUUCAGAAUAAAAACCAAGACAAGCCACAUAAAAGCAACCUAAAAAUUAAUCUGUCAUCAUAUUAUUUGUUUUAAAACUAUGGAAUAAAAUAUCUGAGGAAGAUUUCUCUCAAAAUUGUUUUUCUCAAUUUCAAAGCAAUUUAAACUGACCUCCAUGUAUUAACUUGGUGUGGAGCACCACACGA